AGAACGAACGCUGGCGGCAGGCUUAACACAUGCAAGUCGAACGCUCAUAGCAAUAUGGGAGUGGCGCACGGGUGAGUAACGCGUGGGAACAUGCCCUUCAGUUCGGAAUAACAGUUGGAAACGACUGCUAAUACCGAAUAUUCCCUCCGGGGGAAAGAUUUAUCGCUGAAGGAUUGGCCCGCGUAAGAUUAGGUAGUUGGUGGGGUAAUGGCCUACCAAGCCUUCGAUCUUUAGCUGGUCUGAGAGGACGACCAGCCACACUGGAACUGAGACACGGUCCAGACUCCUACGGGAGGCAGCAGUGGGGAAUAUUGGACAAUGGGGGAAACCCUGAUCCAGCCAUGCCGCGUGAGUGAUGAAGGCCUUAGGGUUGUAAAGCUCUUUUGUCAGGGAAGAUGAUGACGGUACCUGAAGAAUAAGCACCGGCUAACUCGCGCAGCAGCCGC
rnacentral:rRNA from 1 species